rnacentral:lncRNA from 1 species
GAAACUUCCACGAUAUUAGUAGCACCCUAGUCCUCUUUCCAGAAGCUCCUGCCUGCAGGCUCUGCCAUAGCCGCAUCCUGUCUGCUCACUGAGCUCAUUCCCCACCAGCAGCACCAGUCUUGUGAGAAGCUCCUCGGGCCCUGCCCCCUGUCUCCUUGAACUGGGAUGGACUGAACUAUGUCUCCUGGAAUAGACUGAACUGUGUCUUUCCCAUGCUCCUAUGAGGACAUCCUCAUCCCCAGAGUGAAGGUAUUUGGAGACAGGGUCUUUGGGAGAUGACUAUGGUUAGGGAAGGUCUGAGAGUGGGGCCCUAUGAUGGAAUUAGUGCCCUUAUGAGAAGCAACACCAGAAAGAGAGUCCUUGCGAGCUGUCUCUCCACCCCCACCAUGUGAACACAGAGCGGACGCAGCCUUGCACACCGGCAAGGCAGGGAGCCCUCACCAGGAACUGAAUCAGCCAUCACCUUGUUCCUGGACCUCCAGCCUCCAGGUGGGUCAGGUGCACUGAGUCAGUGAAUGAAUGAAGGGCUGGUUCCUGUGCCCAUGUCUGCACGUGUCCUCCCUCUGCCCGGGCAUCUCCUGGAGCCCGGUAUAGGCAGACUCCAGCAGGACCUGUGCUGCACGCCUCAACUCCCCAGGCCCCUCCCUUCACUUGUUUAGAAAUGCACUGGAAAUACUGUGGGCGCCAUUUUCACCAAUCGAGUGUGCGGAAGCUUUUAGUAAACACGGGUUACUUUGAUGCUAAUUAUAUUUAAAUAACAUGUGUGUCUACAAUUAUAUAAUUAUACAUAUAUGUAAAUACAGAAAAAAAUACCAAAAAAUAAUGAACUAUUCCCAGGCAGGGGUCUUCUGAAGGUUAUGGGAUCAUUUUGACUUGCUCUUCUUUAUACCCUUGAGUAUUCUCCAACUUGCUUACAAUGAGCGCGGAUUCUUUUUUUAAUAAGCAGAAAAAAAUGUUGCUUUUAACAUUUAGGAAGCUGUCCUGAGUAUCUGGCACAUUAAAGGGAGCUUGCUGGGCACUGUGGGAUUCAUCGAUAGGUAAGAAGGAGAGGCAGAGUCCCUGAACUCCAUCAGCCUCCAGUCUGGACAAGACCAGACACCCACACGCAAAGUGGAGCCAGGUGGUGCCCUGUGGGAAGCCAGCAUGUGCCAGGCACCUGGAGAAGGAGCCAGAACUGGGUCUGGGCUGACGGAGGGGAGACCCACAGGCUACGUGGAGAGAAGAAGCAUGUCUGGCAACGGAGGGCACGCGGCUGGAGGGGCUGAGGGGAUGCAUGAGAAAAUGAGUUUGGCUUCAAAUAUGGAUGUCACCAAAUGCCAGCACAGGGCCUCAGACUGGACACACGGCCCGUGGGUCACCUGGUGCCUGUAAAGGGGCACCGUGUUUCUUCUGAAAUAUCUCUGGCCACUGGGGAAACGCCGUGUGUGUGCUGGAGUCACAUUGCAUCCCUUGCCUGGACACAAGAGCAGGCCCCACCUUGCUCUAUCUUCAAAACGCUACAGCACGGAGCCCCCAGAAGCAGGGGUACCCCUUGGGUGGCCGCCUAAGUCAAGAGGCCUUGAUAACCGGAAAGUCACACUUUUUUCUUUCUGAAUGGUGCAAAUCAAUAGGAAAAAUCGAGAUUGUCUGAGGAAGCUUUCUUCAAACAUUACAGAACAUUGUCCACACUGAAUGUUUUGUUCAUGUUUGAGGGCUGUGUAGAGGGGAUUGAUGGAGAUGGUGGGGCUGCUAAGGCCCCCAUAUGUUCCAGAGCUUGAGGCACAGGCCCAGCACCCAGUGGGUGCCCGGUGUGAUUGCAGAGCCUUCUGAACGGUGCUGUGUGGGUCAUGGGAGCACUUGACCCAUCCCAACCAGAGGAUGGCCAUGUUGGGGGAUGUGGCUCCAGAACCCCCAGUGCCCAGCCCCUACCAGUCUUCUUCCCGAGCUGAUUUCCGAGGGCAUAAAUCUGCUUCCCUCCUGCCCCUCACUCCUCUAAAGAAAGGCCUCCUGCAUCCCUGGAUCCCCGAUUUCAUCUUUGAGGCCACCAAAAAGUCACUUCCUCCUUCCUUGGUCUAGAUGGUCCUGACCCCAGCAGAGCAGGGACUCGGCAGGGCCACUGCUUAGGGAGCAUUGAGAGCAAAGGGGCUGCUUUCAGCCGGUGGUUCUCAAAGUCAAGGCUUGAUGAAGACACGUGCAGAAAGGAGAUGGGCUGGAACUGGGGGGCCUCAACUCUGCAGCUGGGGAACCUGACCCAAGUUGACCAAAGCUGGGGGACGCAGGCAGAGUCUGGCUCUGGCACCUCCAGCUGAGCCACCACAGAGGGUCCUCAGCUGUAAAGCAGGGACCCAGGGACCAGCAGCCACAAGGCAGGGUUGCUGGGAGGGGCCAUGAGCUGAGCAGCUCCGAGGCUACACCCCAACUGUGUCUGAUUAAGUCCUUUCUGUUACUCUUUAGGACUCGCCCCCAACGCCAACCCUCCUGAC